CAUCAUUGCAAAACAGAAUCUGCAGUAGAACUAUGUCAUCUUUUGGUUCUAAGUUUGCCCUGUCAUUGCUGGCAGACAGCAAGUAUUUAUGUGCUUGCUAGCUCUUUAGUGGAACCGGUCUUCUGUUUUCACUGUUGCCUCCUGUGACACAAAGUGCCACCUAUCUCCCAAGGUUCUCUCUUGGUAACAGAACUCUAGUUUUUGGCUGGACUCAUUUCCCCAGUGGUAGAGGCUGCUGGCUGGUCAUGCCAUGGGCCCAGGUCGUCUCCUUCGGCACAACCAGAUGCCAUUUCUCAGCCUCCCUUGUGGUUAUGUGCAUGGUGUGCUGGAGUUCUGGCCAUUACUGAGCUGAAGCGAUGUGUCCCUUCUACUCACACUUCUGUAGUCCUGGCCUACAGAAACCCAUGAUGGUUCUCUAUGCUCUUUAUCGUUCUACAGCUUAAUGCAGAUAAGUAACAAGAUAUUGGAAGACAAGUGUUGAAGGUGAAAGAGGCACAAGAUAGAAGAAACCUGGGUCCUUAGAUCCCUGCUUGAAGGAAAACCACUUGCCAAUCCAGAACAUCAUUUUGGACUUCAUAUGAGUGAGAAGCAAUCCUGUAUCAUGUUUGAGCCAUUAAGUGUAUUUUGGUUAUUUGUUCUGAUAGCUGUAAGUAUCUUACUAACGUAGACAUCAUAAGUGAAAGACCAUGUUUCCUCACCUCCCCUGCUAAGUGUAACCGUGUAACUAAAUUCUGGCCAAUGAGAUGUAAGCGGAAGUGUUUUGUGUGACUUUGAAAGAGGAUGCUUCAGGGAAGCUGAUUUGGAUGGGAUGGGAACACUUCUGUCUUCUUUUGCUCCUUCUCCUUUACAGUCCAGAACUCAGACAAAAUGUCAGGAAUUGCUCUGACCGUCUUGCACGUCUGUGGAUGGGAACCAUUUUCUAAGACAAUGGGGUAGGGUGAUAGAGAAGACUAGGUUUCUGAUGGACGUGGAGCUGUUGGGCCCAUCUGGGAUCCUUAACCCCGUCCACAAUGCUUUUAUGUUAGAGGAAUCUCUUUCUUGUUUAAGCCUCUAUUUUAUUUCUCAUAGAGACACACAUUCUUUCUAUAGGAGCACAAGUGACCAUUUUAAUAUUUGAAUCAAGUUAUGCCACUUCUUGGCUAUGAAUCCCUUCAUGACUUCAUGAAUCCCUUCAUGAUGAAUAUUUCUAUAUUUGAAAUAUAGAAUCGAAUUUAUAUUUCUACCAUGGUUUAUGAAGCCCUGCUUAAUUUGUCUCCUACCUACUCCACUGACCUCACUCCAAUUACACUGGCCUGCCUUCUGUUCUGCUGUAGUGACUGAUCAUUCACCUCCAUGAGGCCCUACUGCCCUACUGAAGAUGUCACCUUUUCAGAGAGGUUCUCUGACCUCCACCUACAAUAGGCUUUCCCAGCUUUCGUCUGUCUCACCACCCUGUUUAUUUUCUACAUGGCUCUGAUCACGGUCUUUAAUCAUCUGGCUGAUGUAUUUAUUCAUUUGUUUAUCAUGAUCUCCCCAACUAAAAUGUAAGCUCCGUAAGGCAAAGAUGGUCUCCCAUACAACACAGUGCCUGCUGCAUAGGAAGCGCUUAUUACAUUAUGAAAAACACAGCAAACGUUUCAUAUGAGGUAUUAUGUCACCAAUGAGCAGGGACUAUGAUGAAUGUGUCUUUAGAACACCCAAUGAAGUGCCACUUGCCACAAGAAGCCUUGAAACCAACUCUCUGCAGAGCAACUCCUGUUUCCACAAAGGGUGCAUCAGGAUGCACAGGACCCUGGAUCGCAGGCCCCACGUGUGAACGAAGCAACACAGACCAUCGAUAACAGAGACCUCUCUAGGUAACAGUAUCUUCAACAAUCGUUCAGCUGUUCAGAAACUUAAAAAUCAUGAGGCGAUUCUUAAAGGAUAGGAAUUCAUAUUGAUCACACAACGUGUAAUCCCACAUCUAUAUACUGGCAAAUGGUGGCACAAACACCAUAAAAUCUCAGCUUGCUUUGUAGCCAUUCUGGAUUGCUGAGUUCUAGCUGCCAUGCCAUGAGCCACCCUGUAGAGAGGUCUAUGUGACAAAGCACUGAGGGAGACCCCCAGCCAACAGCCAGUGAGGAAGUGGAACCCUCAGUCCAACAGACUCCGUUGGAUGGAAUCCUAUUGGCAACCACAUGCAUGGACUUGGAAGAGGAUCCUGCCCCAGUCACACCUUCAGAUGGGACUGCAGCCUCAGACAGCAGUUGGAUUGCAACCUCAUGAGAUACUUUGAGCCAGAAGCUCCUGACUGAGUCGUGCCUGGCUUCAUAAACCACAGAAGUUGUAGCUAAUACAUGUUUAUUGGUUCAAGCUGCUAAGUUUUGGGGUAAUUUAUCACACAGCAAUAGAUAACUAAUAUAGGUAGGUACUGGUAUUAUUUGUGUUUUACAGAAGAAGAACCUGAGGUUUAGAGAGGAUAGGAAAUGAUGCAGCCAGGAUGUGAACCUUCAAAUAUGACUCCAAGGACUGCGCAAUUGAUAACUAGAAUCAGUUUUGGAUAACGUUAAGCACAUUACUGUUGUUCAGUCCAGCUUGGUACUGUGCAGAAACUUUGUGGUUCCAGACUUUAGAAAAGCUAGUAUGAGCAGACAAAAGGAUGGUUUCCUCCCAAGCCAGGUAAACAUUUUAAAAGAUACACAAGAAAAAAAUUAUAGAUCAUGCAGCAACAAUAGAGCAUUAACAUUCCAUUUCUAACAAAGAUGAUCUUAGUAUUAGUCAGAGUUCUCCAGAGAGACAAAACUAAUAGGAGAUAGAUAGAUGGAUGGAUGGAUA